AAUAAUUUAAGAUCACAACACAAGUUUUAUUGAUUUUCUUUCAUAAUACGUUUAUAAAAAUUUCAAGAGAAUUUUGUAACGAAUGUUUUUGGCCGAAGCACUAAAUCUUUCAAGAGUUUUUUGUGUCCUGUCGUCGCACAUGAUACGAGUAUCCCGGCCGCGUUUGCUGGCCGCGCGGCCGCUGCUGGUUCGGUGUCCGGCGCCGGUACCCGCACUGUCUCCGCGUCCUCAGCGCCCAUCGUUGCUAGAAACACGGCCUGUGCUGCGAGCGAGUGACGCCGCUGCACGCCGCCGCUGCUGCAUCGGCUGUGUCGCUAAACUGGUCGACUCCUUUCUUACUAAUUACUCAUAAGUAGGUAUAAGUGAUCUUGUUAAUUCUGUGUAAGUCGAUUGAAUUGUCCAUGCAAACGUUUAGAAUUAUUUUUAUCGU